rnacentral:rRNA from 1 species
CGAGCAAGGCCGCGUGAACGAUGAAGUAUUUCGGUAUGUAAAGUUCUUUUAUUGAAGAAGAAAAAAUAGUGGAAAAACUAUCUUGACGAUAUUCAAUGAAUAAGCCCCGGCAAACUAUGUGCCAGCAGCCGCGGUAAUACAUAGGGGGCGAGCGUUAUCCGGAAUUAUUGGGCGUAAAGGGUGCGUAGGCGGUUUGGUAAGUCUAUAGUUUAAUUUCAGUGCUUAACACUGUUCUGCUAUAGAAACUAUCAGACUAGAGUGAGAUAGAGGCAAGUGGAAUUCCAUGUGUAGCGGUAAAAUGCGUAAAUAUAUGGAGGAACACCAGAGGCGUAGGCGGCUUGCUGGGUCUUUACUGACGCUGAGGCACGAAAGCGUGGGGAGCAAACAGGAUUAGAUACCCUGGUAGUCCACGCCGUAAACGAUGAGUACUAAGUGUCGGGGAAACUCGGUACUGAAGUUAACACAUUAAGUACUCCGCCUGAGUAGUACGUACGCAAGUAUGAAACUUAAAGGAAUUGACGGGACUCCGCACAAGCGGUGGAUCAUGUUGUUUAAUUCGAAGAUACACGAAAAACCUUACCAGGUCUUGACAUACUCUGCAAAGCUAUAGCAAUAUAGUGGAGGUUAUCAGGGAUACAGGUGGUGCAUGGUUGUCGUCAGCUCGUGUCGUGAGAUGUUAGGUUAAGUCCUAAAACGAGCGCAACCCUUGUCACUAUUUGCCAGCAUGUUAUGAUGGGCACUUUAACGAGACUGCCA